UACGAGGGGGGCAAGCGUUGUUCGGAUUUAUUAGGCGUAAAGGGUGCGUAGGCGGUUUGGCAAGUCUUGUGUGAAAUCUUUGGGCUCAACCCAAAGCCUGCACGAGAAACUGCCGGGCUUGAGUAUGGGAGAGGUGAGUGGAAUUUCCGGUGUAGCGGUGAAAUGCGUAGAUAUCAGGAGGAACACCGGUGGCGAAGGCGGAUCUCUGGGCCUUACCUGACGCUCAGGUGCGAAAGCUAGGGGAGCGAACAGG
rnacentral:rRNA from 1 species